UACGAAGGGGGCUAGCGUUGCUCGGAAUCACUGGGCGUAAAGGGUGCGUAGGCGGGUCUUUAAGUCAGGGGUGAAAUCCUGGAGCUCAACUCCAGAACUGCCUUUGAUACUGAAGAUCUUGAGUUCGGGAGAGGUGAGUGGAACUGCGAGUGUAGAGGUGAAAUUCGUAGAUAUUCGCAGGAACACCAGUGGCGAAGGCGGCUAACUGGUCCAUAACUGACGCUGAGGUGCGAAAGCGUGGGGAGCAAACAGGG
rnacentral:rRNA from 1 species